rnacentral:rRNA from 1 species
UACGGAGGGGGCAAGCGUUGUCCGGAAUCAUUGGGCGUAAAGAGCGUGUAGGCGGCCCGGUAAGUCCGCUGUGAAAGUCCAGGGCUCAACCCUGGAAUGCCGGUGGAAACUGUCGGGCUAGAGUCCGGAAGAGGCGAGUGGAAUUCCUGGUGUAGCGGUGGAAUGCGCAGAUAUCAGGAGGAACACCGAUGGCGAAGGCGGCGAUCUGGGCAGAUACUGACGCUGAGGUGCGAAAGCGUGGGGAGCAAACAGG